UACGUAGGGUGCAAGCGUUAAUCGGAAUUACUGGGCGUAAAGCGUGCGCAGGCGGUGAUGUAAGACAGUUGUGAAAUCCCCGGGCUCAACCUGGGAACUGCAUCUGUGACUGCAUCGCUGGAGUGCGGCAGAGGGGGAUGGAAUUCCGCGUGUAGCAGUGAAAUGCGUAGAUAUGCGGAGGAACACCGAUGGCGAAGGCAGCCCCCUGGGCCAAUACUGACGCUCAUGCACGAAAGCGUGGGGAGCAAACAGG
rnacentral:rRNA from 1 species